rnacentral:rRNA from 1 species
ACGCACGCUGGCGGCGUGCUUCACACCUGCAAGUCGCACGGGCCUUGUCCCCUUUUUUUUGGGGGUGGGGUUAGUGGCGAACGGGUGAGUAACACGUGAGUAACCUGCCCCUCACUUCUGGAUAACCGCUUGAAAGGGUGGCUAAUACGGGGUGUUCUGGCCUGCUCGCAUGGGUGGGUUUGGAAAGAUUCGACCGGUUUUGGUUGUUUUGGUGGGGGAUGGGCUCGCGGCCUAUCAGCUUGUUGGUGGGGUGAUGGCCUGCCAAGGCUUUGACGGGUAGCCGGCCUGAGAGGGUGGGCGGUCACACUGGGACUGAGACACGGCCCAGACUCCUACGGGAGGCAGCAGUGGGGAAUAUUGCACAAUGGGCGCAAGCCUGAUGCAGCGACGCCGCGUGAGGGAUGGAGGCCUUCGGGUUGUGAACCUCUUUCGCCAGUGAAGAAGGUCCUGCUCUUUGUGGUGGGGUUGACGGUAGCUGGGUUAAUGAAGCGCCGGCUAACUACGUG